rnacentral:rRNA from 1 species
UACGAAGGGUGCAAGCGUUAAUCGGAAUUACUGGGCGUAAAGGGUGCGUAGGCGGUUGUUUAAGUCUGUCGUGAAAUCCCCGGGCUCAACCUGGGAAUGGCGAUGGAUACUGGACAGCUAGAGUGCGUCAGAGGAUGGUGGAAUUCCCGGUGUAGCGGUGAAAUGCGUAGAGAUCGGGAGGAACAUCAGUGGCGAAGGCGGCCAUCUGGGACAACACUGACGCUGAAGCACGAAAGCGUGGGGAGCAAACAGG